UACGGGGGGGGCAAGCGUUGUUCGGAAUUACUGGGCGUAAAGGGGUUGUAGGCGGCCAACUAAGUCCGACGUGAAAUCCCAAGGCUUAACCUUGGAACUGCGUCGGAUACUGGAUGGCUUGAAUUCGGGAGAGGGAUGCAGAAUUCCAGGUGUAGCGGUGAAAUGCGUAGAUAUCAGGAAGAACACCCGUGGCGAAGGCGGUUCUCUGGGACGGUACUGACGCUGAGACGCGAAAGCGUGGGGAGCGAACAGG
rnacentral:rRNA from 1 species